AAUAGGCCCAAGCGACUGUUUAUCAAAAACACAGGUCUCUGCUAAACCGUAAGGUGAUGUAUAGGGGCUGACGCCUGCCCGGUGCUGGAAGGUUAAGAGGAGUGGUUAGCUUCUGCGAAGCUACGAAUCGAAGCCCCAGUAAACGGCGGCCGUAACUAUAACGGUCCUAAGGUAGCGAAAUUCCUUGUCGGGUAAGUUCCGACCCGCACGAAAGGCGUAACGAUUUGGGCACUGUCUCAACGAGAGACUCGGUGAAAUCAUAGUACCUGUGAAGAUGCAGGUUACCCGCGACAGGACGGAAAGACCCCGUGGAGCUUUACUGUAGCCUGAUAUUGAAAUUCGGCACAGCUUGUACAGGAUAGGUAGGAGCCUUUGAAACGUGAGCGCUAGCUUACGUGGAGGCGCUGGUGGGAUACUACCCUAGCUGUGUUGGCUUUCUAACCCGCACCACUUAUCGUGGUGGGAGACAGUGUCAGGCGGGCAGUUUGACUGGGGCGGUCGCCUCCUAAAAGGUAACGGAGGCGCUCAAAGGUUCCCUCAGAAUGGUUGGAAAUCAUUCAUAGAGUGUAAAGGCAUAAGGGAGCUUGACUGCGAGACCUACAAGUCGAGCAGGGUCGAAAGACGGACUUAGUGAUCCGGUGGUUCCGCAUGGAAGGGCCAUCGCUCAACGGAUAAAAGCUACCCCGGGGAUAACAGGCUUAUCUCCCCCAAGAGUUCACAUCGACGGGGAGGUUUGG
rnacentral:rRNA from 1 species